rnacentral:lncRNA from 1 species
AUGAUUCUAUUAAUAAUCGGCUAUGUAAUUAAGCCUUGUUUAUCUAAAAUAAAGAUCAUCUUGCUUUCUAGCAUUUCUUGUUUUUUAGUGGAAGCAUAUUUUGCACAACUGUUGAUAUGCUAACUAUAUAAGUCGGGUUUGAGUUUGGGUUCAGCGGUCGCCACAUCGUUCACAAGGACUCUGAUACGGGGUAUACAUGUUUGUUGACGGGGAUGGGACGCACAUUCGGCAUAUUUCAAUGGGUAUUGUUUACCUCUUUUCUUUCCAAGGUGUCGGUUUUUCGGAAAGUUAAUCUGCGACAUCAGUGAGUUUUAACUUAAAGUGUUAAAUCGUGACAUUGGAUUAUUUUAACGAUUCGUUUGAAGACCCGAGAUUCAUGGAACGACUCUACCGAGCUGUGGAUAAGAAGAAGAAGGGAUAAAAAAAGCAACGAAAAUGACAAGGACUAGGUAGAUUAAUGAUGUAUUUGCUUAGAAUUUAAGAGUUUCAAAACUUUAACUUAACCAAA